rnacentral:tRNA from 1 species
GGCGGCGUAGCUCAGCUGGUUAGAGCGCAGGACUCAUAAGCCUGAGGUCAGAGGUUCAAGUCCUCUCGCCGCUACCA